rnacentral:tRNA from 1 species
GGACUUGGAGCGGACAACAAAAUGCACUUAAAAUGCACGCGCUGGGAAAAAAAUACACAUAACAAUAUUUUUCAGCAAGUUAUAUCGUUUUCGGACGCGAGUUCAACUCCCGCCAGCUCCACCA